AGGAACCAGAUUCUGCCACCGCAAGGCAUUUGUGGGAUUGUGUGAGGGGGUUGGUCCUUAAACAUGGCAGAAGUGACUAACACUGGCUUGAGCAGACUCCUUGGCACAGCAUCCAGAGUGUCUACACAUUAAUCAGCUAGCACUAAAAAAUAAUGAAUCUGCUCCAUGGGAAAGAAAACGGAAGUGAGGAUUCAGUGGUGCGUUGAGGUGACUGUGCGAAAGAAAGAAACACCACCGCCAUGAAGUCGCCUCCAGUACCUAACCAUGCAAUAUCACUUCCGCAUUCCCUCUGUCGACCCCUGAUGAUGUCAGCAUCCCAGCAUCCAUCUUGGUACCUUCCUAGCAGCCUUCACUUUCAUUUCCGGUCCCUCUCCAUAAAGAUUCCCCCAGUUUGCCAUCUUGCUGUCUGAUAUAUAUAUAUAUUGUUAUGAACAAUAUUUCUGACCUGAAACUACUUUUUACAGUACACGGGGCCAGAAAACCCCAACUCUU